rnacentral:rRNA from 1 species
GACGAACGCUGGCGGCGUGCCUAAUACAUGCAAGUAGAACGCUGAAGAGAGGAGCUUGCUCUUCUUGGAUGAGUUGCGAACGGGUGAGUAACGCGUAGGUAACCUGCCUUGUAGCGGGGGAUAACUAUUGGAAACGAUAGCUAAUACCGCAUAACAAUGGAUGACACAUGUCAUUUAUUUGAAAGGGGCAAUUGCUCCACUACAAGAUGGACCUGCGUUGUAUUAGCUAGUAGGUGAGGUAAUGGCUCACCUAGGCGACGAUACAUAGCCGACCUGAGAGGGUGAUCGGCCACACUGGGACUGAGACACGGCCCAGACUCCUACGGGAGGCAGCAGUAGGGAAUCUUCGGCAAUAGGGGCAACCCUGACCGAGCAACGCCGCGUGAGUGAAGAAGGUUUUCGGAUCGUAAAGCUCUGUUGUAAGUUAAGAACGGGUGUGAGAGUGGAAAGUUCACACUGUGACGGUAGCUUACCAGAAAGGGACGGCUAACUACGUG